CAAGCAGCCCAAUGCAACUUGAAAAGGACAUGCAGUCUCUGCCAGGGAAAACAUCUUCAGGUUCUGCACGAGAUCAAUGUGAGACCCCCUAAGGCAUCUGUGGUGGAGAACCACGGUACAAGGGCCACGACUGAGGUACUAUACCUAGACCGACCAAGAGAAGGCAGCAGAGUUCUUUUGAAAGUAGUCCGAGUCCACAUUCACCAUGGUGACCGAACACUCGACACCUUUGCCAUACUGGACGAUGGUUCAGAGAGAACUAUGCUGUUGCCAGAAGCAGCGGAGAAGUUAGGUGUCCAAGGGACCCCAGAAGACCUACCCCUACGUACAAUCAGACAGGACAUACAGACCCUCGGCGGCACAUCGGUGUCAUUCACCGUUUCUUCCCCGACAAAGCCAAAGAGAAGGUUCAAGAUUUCAGGGGCAUUCACUUCAGCUCGCAUUGGGUUAGCUGACCAUACAUACCCCAUCAAGCAACUUCAGCAGAAGUACAAACACCUUAUUGGCCUUCCCCUGCGUAAUCUCACAAAGGUGGAGCCCUUGCUUCUCAUUGGGAGUGACCACCCCCAUCUCAUCACCCCCAUUGAACCUGUCAGGUUGGGACCUCCAGGAGGGCCUGCUGCCAUUCGCACUAGACUGGGCUGGACACUGCAGGGCCCAGCUAGUGUAGUCUGUGACCUCACCCGACCACAUCAGUGUCUAUUCACCACAGUAGCCCCCCAGGUGAACGAGUUGAUGAAGAACGUCGAGAGACUAUGGCAGGUUGAUACUGUUCCAUUCAGAAGUGAAAAACUGGUUACUCGUUCAAAGCAGGACCAAGAUGCCAUCAGUAUCCUUGAGUCCAAAAUCACCAGAGUAGAGGUUGACGGCAUACUACGUUAUGCCACCCCUCUGCUUCGUCGAAAGGACAUGCCGCUCCUUCAGGCCGCUAAAGAAGCCGUCAUUCCCAGUCUACGAAGUGUAGAAAGGCGACUGGCCAAAGAUCCUGCAAAGGCUGAAUCUUACCGAGUGGAGAUGGAGAAGCUGAUCAAGGCAGGCUCUGUCAUUAAGUGUGGCCCAGAAUUACCA
rnacentral:lncRNA from 1 species